ensembl:lncRNA
GAAUACCCUACCUCAGUAGAGUUGCAGACUCGCCCCUGAGCACAGAGACUACAACAAGAAGCGAAGAGGAGGAAAAGUGAAGCAAAGAGGCUCCAGAUUCACAACAGAAAAAGGUUAAGCCCCGCCCUCUGAUGAAAACAUAACCAUUGACCUCCCAGAUUUCUACGCUGCUUUGAUGGCAGAAAAGGCACCUCCCCCGACAAACUCCUCGUCCUCAACCACCUCCCCUUCCUCCCAUCACAACGGAAGGGUGUUGUCAAUGAGUCCCACCCCCCACAGGGACACUGGUUCAGCCGCACCUGUAGGACCUUCAUCCUGUAGUCCCAGACCGAGCACCUCGCCGCGCUCCCCACUGCGUCACAUCCUCAGUCUGGCCUCUAGAUCUGGGACGGGGUGUCCUUCCACCAAAUCACCCAGCGCCACAAGUCCGAGGAUCGCGCCCAAGCAUUCAGAGUCCAAUGGGCCCAGAAUACGUACUUUCAGCAACAAGUGGUCUCUCCUCUCUCCUUGUUCUGAUCCUGGUGGUUUGUCCUCUCUCCUUGUUGUCCUGCUCUUACUGGUCUCUCCUCUCUCGUCUCUCCUUGUUCUGCUCCUAGUUGUCUCUCCUCUCUCCUUGUGGUUCUCCUGGUGCUCUGACCUCUCAUUGUGGUUCUCCUGGUGCUCUCUCCUCUCUCCUUGCUGUUCUCCUGGUGCUCUGACCUCUCCUUGCUGUUCUCCUGGUGCUCUCUCCUCUCUCCUUGCUUUUUUUCCUGGUGCUCUCUCCUCUCUCCUUGCUGUUCUCCUGGUGCUCUGACCUCUCCUUGCUGUUCUCCUGGUGCUCUCUCCUCUCUCCUUGCUGUUCUCCUGGUGCUCUGACCUCUCCUUGCUGUUCUCCUGGUGCUCUGACCUCUCCUUGCUGUUCUGCUGGUGCUCUCUCCUCUCUCCUUGCUGUUCUGCUGGUGCUCUGACCUCUCCUUGCUGCUCUGCUGGUAG